CCACCAUCGUGCCAUUGCUGUCUUCUAUUCUGCAUGAUGAUGAAGAGUUCCCUAAUCCAGACCAGUUUGACCCAGGUCACUUCCUGGAUGAAAGUGGCAACUUUAAGAAGAGCGACUAUUUCAUGCCUUUUUCAACAGGAAAACGGAUAUGUGCUGGUGAGAGUCUGGCUCGGAUGGAAUUAUUUUUGUUUUUUACUACCAUCUUACAAAAUUUUACUUUGAAAUCUGCCAUUGACU